rnacentral:lncRNA from 1 species
UUGAUUUAUGUUUGAAAUAAUUUUAAAUUUUUUUAUAAAACUUGAUGUUUUUUAUUUUUAAUAGGGAAUAUAUUGAUGACACUUUCAGAUUUGGAAGGAUUGUGAUUGGCACGUUUUCAGAGGUGUCCGGACUCUGUAAUGGUCAAAGGUUUCCAGUAGAAGAAGAUGAGACAAGAAUUAAAUGCAUGUGGGAGACUCUGGACCUAGGCACUUCGUGCUUUUGA